AGUGAACGCUGGCGGCAGGCCUAAUACAUGCAAGUCGAACGGCAGCACAGUGGAGCUUGCUCCAUGGGUGGCGAGUGGCGGACGGGUGAGGAAUACAUGGGAAUCUGCCCAGUCGUGGGGGAUAACGUAUGGAAACGUACGCUAAUACCGCAUGCGCCCUUCGGGGGAAAGUCGGGGACCGCAAGGCCUGACGCGAUUGGAUGAGCCCAUGUUCGAUUAGCUAGUUGGCGGGUAACGGCCCACCAAGGCGACGAUCGAUAGCUGGUCUGAGAGGAUGAUCAGCCACACUGGAACUGAGACACGGUCCAGACUCCUACGGGAGGCAGCAGUAGGGAAUAUUGGACAAUGGGGGCAACCCUGAUCCAGCCAUGCCGCGUGAGUGAAGAAGGCCCUCGGGUUGUAAAGCUCUUUGUUGGGGAAGAAAAGCAGUUGGUUAAUACCCGAUUGUUCUGACGGUACCCAAAGAAUAAGCACCGGCUAACUUCGUGCCAGCAGCCGCGGUAA
rnacentral:rRNA from 1 species